AAGAAAUGCGAGGACUUUUUUGAUUGGUCUUGAGGCGUAAUUUUUGGUACAGUGGUGGAGAAAUAUAUGGCCUCAAGGAAGAACAGCAACACUAUGCUGAUAUGUAUUGGACUUUCUGGUGUGAAUGAAAGAUCACUCUUGCCAUAACAGGCACUUCUGUUCUGUUGGCUAAUGAGGUUCCUCCAAACCUGCAAAUGUGUCUUAACAGUCACUGACUGGGCUAUAAUUGUCAUUAUAGCAGCACAAAAGAAGGAAAAAAAUAAAAUAAUUGUGCCAAUGCGUUUCUUGUACUACUUAGCAUGCAACGGAGAGAGAAUGAAGAGUAUACAGCCAUCAGCUCCCUUAUCUACAAUCCCAUAAUAUUAUGCUAAAUGACAAUCAAACUGCAUUGACGUUAAUAUACUAGCUAGCAGUCACACAGGUUUCUAUAAUAAAAUGGGCAAGAAUUUUGAAAAAUAACAAAAUUACAUUAUAGGUCACAGCAACUACAUCAAAAUUUUGAAAAUAACAAAACUACCCAGUUCCAUUAUGUCAACAAAGUGAUUGCAACUUGCAAGUGAAAGGGAUCAUUGAGAUACCUUGCCGUUUUGUAUGAAGAGGAACAGCAGGAAUAGGAUGUGGAAUAUACUUCUGUUGGUAAGUUCCGGAAUGAUGUUUAACAAAUUGAGAAACUAUCUUCGGGCGUUGAACUAAUGGAGCAGCCAGAGAAUUUUCAUUUGCUCUUCUUGAAAGAGAUGGCGGAUAA
rnacentral:lncRNA from 1 species